AACGAACGCUGGCGGCGCGCCUAAUACAUGCAAGUCGAGCGAGAAGGUGUAGCAAUACACUUGUAAAGCGGCGAACGGGGUGAGGAAUGCAUGGGUAACCUACCCUCGAGUGGGGAAUAACUAGCCGAAAGGUUAGCUAAUACCGCAUACGUUUCCGGAACUUCGGUUUCGGAAAGAAAGCAAUACCGUGGGUAUUGCGCUCCUGGAUGGGCUCAUGUCCUAUCAGCUUGUUGGUGAGGUAACGGCUCACCAAGGCUUCGACGGGUAGCUGGUCUGAGAGGACGAUCAGCCACACUGGCACUGCGACACGGGCCAGACUCCUACGGAGGCAGCAGUAAGGAAUAUUAGCGCAAUGGACGAAAGUACUGACGCAGCGACGCCGCGUGGGGGAGU
rnacentral:rRNA from 1 species